AUUGAACGCUGGCGGCAUGCCUUACACAUGCAAGUCGAACGGUAACAGGGAGCUUGCUCCGCUGACGAGUGGCGAACGGGUGAGUAAUGUAUCGGAACGUACCAUUCAGUGGGGGAUAACGUAGCGAAAGUUACGCUAAUACCGCAUAUUCUGUGAGCAGGAAAGCAGGGGAUCGCAAGACCUUGCGCUGAUUGAGCGGCCGAUAUCAGAUUAGCUAGUUGGUGAGGUAAAGGCUCACCAAGGCGACGAUCUGUAGCGGGUCUGAGAGGAUGAUCCGCCACACUGGAACUGAGACACGGUCCAGACUCCUACGGGAGGCAGCAGUGGGGAAUUUUGGACAAUGGGGGCAACCCUGAUCCAGCCAUGCCGCGUGAGUGAAGAAGGCCUUCGGGUUGUAAAGCUCUUUCGGCCGGGAAGAAAUCGCAUGGGUUAAUACCCUGUGCGGAUGACGGUACCGGCAUAAGAAGCACCGGCUAACUACGUG
rnacentral:rRNA from 1 species